AACUGCGAGUGAAGCGGGAAAAGCUCAAAUUUAAAAUCUGGCGGUCAUUGGCCGUCCGAGUUGUAAUUUAGAGAAGCGUCUUCCGCGCUGGACCGUGCACAAGUCUCCUGGAAUGGAGCGUCAUAGAGGGUGAGAAUCCCGUCUUUGGCACGGAUGCCCGGUGCUUCUGUGAUGCGCUCUCGAAGAGUCGAGUUGUUUGGGAAUGCAGCUCAAAAUGGGUGGUGAACUCCAUCUAAAGCUAAAUAUUGGCGAGAGACCGAUAGCGAACAAGUACCGUGAGGGAAAGAUGAAAAGCACUUUGGAAAGAGAGUGAAACAGUACGUGAAAUUGUUGAAAGGGAAACGCUUGAAGUCAGUCGYGUCGACCGAGACUCAGCCUUGCCUUGGCUUGGUGUACUUCUCGGCCCGACGGGUCAGCAUCAAUUUUGUUCCUCGGAUAAUGGCAAGGGAAAGGUGGCACCUUUACGGGUGUGUUAUAGUCUCCUGUCGCAUGCGAGGGGUGGGAUUGAGGAACUCAGCGUGCACCUCGGUGUCGGGGCCUUU
rnacentral:rRNA from 1 species